rnacentral:lncRNA from 1 species
UCAUUGUUGGUGUUGUUUCUUCAAAUCUUUGGGUAGGGCUGUGAUGUCUACCUCUUGAUUGCUGAUGAAAUCAGCGGUUUGGAUCUUUUUGAUACUAGAGUUGGAUUGAUACAGUUUUUAUGUUAGGUCUUUGUUGUUGCAUACAUCGUAUGCGGUUAUUCUAACACCUAAUUGGUGUGUUGUGGGUUAGUCGGUGGUUUGUGGUAUGGUUCGUUGUAUUGUCGGAGUUCUCGGAGCUCUGAUUAUAGCUCGGUUGGGUGUGGGAAUUGGUUGGAGAAA